AUUGAACGCUGGCGGCAGGCCUAACACAUGCAAGUCGAGCGGAUGAAGGGAGCUUGCUCCUGGAUUCAGCGGCGGACGGGUGAGUAAUGCCUAGGAAUCUGCCUGGUAGUGGGGGAUAACGUCCGGAAACGGGCGCUAAUACCGCAUACGUCCUGAGGAGAAAGUGGGGGAUCUUCGGCCCUCACGCUAUCAGAUGAGCCUAGGUCGGAUUAGCUAGUUGGUGGGGUAAAGGCCUACCAAGGCGACGAUCCGUAACUGGUCUGAGAGGUUGAUCAGUCACACUGGAACUGAGACACGGUCCAGACUCCUACGGGAGGCAGCAGUGGGGAAUAUUGGACAAUGGGCGAAAGCCUGAUCCAGCAAUGCCGCGUGUGUGAAGAAGGUCUUCGGAUUGUAAAGCACUUUAAGUUGGGAGGAAGGGCAGUAAGUUAAUACCUUGCUGUUUUGACGUUACCAAAAGAAUAAGCACCGGCUAACUUCGUG
rnacentral:rRNA from 1 species